CAAAUCUCUAAAAACAUACCUGAAAGGAGUUAAAUAGCCUCAAAUGGAUUAAAAACUGGCAAAGCUUUGACCUAUAUAGUGAAAUGUCUCACCAUAGCUCCUGCUCUAGAAGAACAGUUAAGAAGCUUGACACUUAGGUGUUUGGUGAAUUUUACUCAAAGCCUGACCAAGCUGCCCUGAGGGGCUGCAGAGUUCAAAGCCACAGGGGCCCGGUUGUGGCCUUGCUCCCUUCUCCUUGGAACUUUCUACAAAUUCAGCAAAGGACAGUCCUGAGUGAACCAGAAAUUACCAAACCUAGACACACCCAGAUUCAUCAAGAUGUAGACAUAAUUGAGGCGUUACAGAUGGGAGUCUUGCUCUGUCACCCAGGCUGGAGUUUGGUGGUGCGAUCAUAGCUCAGAACUCCUGGGUUCAAGUCAUCCUCUUGCCUCAGCAACCCAAGUUUCUGGGACCAUAGGUGUGCACCAGCACUCCUGGCUCAAGUCGGUUUUGGAAUGCUUGUAGCAGGGGAGCAGCAUCCCAUCUGGAGUUCAAACUCACUGGGAACAAAGAAAAAUUCCAGAGCAGAACAUCAAUAAUGCAUCAAAGAAGCUUCAUGAGGGAAACCUGGAUUCAACAGCCUGCUAGGAAGGCUCAACGAAUGUCAUAAAAAUUUAAGAGCUUAAAGAAUCAAUGUGCAUACAUUUCCUAAUAUCACCAUUUGGCUAUAGGA